CAGUCGCCGCGGGAAAACGUAGGUGGCAAGCGUUGUCCGGAUUUAUUGGGCGUAAAGCGAGCGCAGGCGGUCAAUUAAGUCUGAUGUGAAAGCCCCCGGCUCAACCGGGGAGGGUCAUUGGAAACUGGUUGACUUGAGUGCAGAAGAGGAGAGUGGAAUUCCAUGUGUAGCGGUGAAAUGCGUAGAUAUAUGGAGGAACACCAGUGGCGAAGGCGACUCUCUGGCCUGUAACUGACGCUGAGGCUCGAAAGCGUGGGUAGCAAACAGGAUUAGAUACCCCAGUAGUCCCUGUCUCUUAUAC
rnacentral:rRNA from 1 species